rnacentral:rRNA from 1 species
UACAGAGGGUGCAAGCGUUAAUCGGAAUUACUGGGCGUAAAGCGAGCGUAGGUGGCUUGAUAAGUCAGAUGUGAAAUCCCCGGGCUUAACCUGGGAACUGCAUCUGAAACUGUUAGGCUAGAGUAGGUGAGAGGGAGGUAGAAUUUCAGGUGUAGCGGUGAAAUGCGUAGAGAUCUGAAGGAAUACCGAUGGCGAAGGCAGCCUCCUGGCAUCAUACUGACACUGAGGCUCGAAAGCGUGGGUAGCAAACAGG